GAGAGGGAGAGGGUGGAAGAGAGACAGAGAGAGAGAGAGACAGAGAGACGGAGAGAGAGGGAGAGAGAGAGAGAGAGAGAGAGAUAGGGAGAGACAGAGAGAGACAGAGACAGAUAGGAGCGAGGGUCAUCCCUCAGCAUGAUUCUCAGCUCCCUCCUCAUCCUCCUCGGGACUCUGGUUAUGGCGAUCAAGAGGCCGGGUACGCUGGCCUUCCGGAACCAGGCAGGGGAUAACCAGAGGCAAGAGGCUGGAGACACCACAAUGGGUUUCCAACUCUUUGGCCUUUUCUUAAUCGUGUCCCUCCUGUUGCUGGUUCUCAUUGGGAUUUAUUGCUCCUGUGCUCACUGUUGCCCUCGAAGUAGACUGUACCACAGGCCCAUCUGAUGAUACCCCACCUCACCACCAGCCGCAGCCAGAUUCAUCACAUCCCCCCAGAAACCCUGCCAGUCUCCACAUUCUCCAAGAUGCACGGACAUCAUCAGCACACCCAGGACUCUCCGAUGUGCAAGAGCAUCACCAAUGUCCAGACGAGGUGGGCUGGUCAUUACUCUCGCGUUGGCACUUUGAUACCCUCGGAGCAGAAGCACGACUCAACUGCCCAGGCUCAGCACUGUAUGGAUUAAUUGCGCCCUUGUUCUGUCCUCUGUGUAAUCUUACCUGUUGCAAUAAACCUCGCUAUGAUGCGCUUAGCCUGAAACUGGUUGCUUGGGGUAAGGCUGUUGGAGGCCGAAGCACAUCGCGGGACAGACCGCGUGCCCUGCCAGGCGUUACGUCCGUGAGGGUGACACACCUUUUGGGCCCUAGGUGGAGGAGCGCCAUUGGUCAUGUGACGGCCCGGGGACCAAUCAGCUCUACGUGUCACACCACGAGGGUCCUCGAUCAGCAUGAUUCUCAGCUCCUUCCUCAUCCUCCUCGGGACUCUGGGUAUGGCGAUCAAGAGGCCAGGUACGCUGGCCUUCCAGAACCAGGCAGGGGAUAACCAGAGGCAAGAGGCUGGAGACACCACAAUGGGUUUCCAACUCUUUGGCCUUUUCUUAAUCGUGUCCCUCCUGUUGCUGGUUCUCAUUGGGAUUUAUUGCUCCUGUGCUCACUGUUGCCCUCGAAGUAGACUGUACCACAGGCCCAUCUGAUGAUACCCCACCUCACCACCAGCCGCAGCCAGAUUCAUCACAUCCCCCCAGAAACCCUGCCAGUCUCCACAUUCUCCAAGAUGCACGGACAUCAUCAGCACACCCAGGACUCUCCGAUGUGCAAGAGCAUCACCAAUGUCCAGACGAGGCGGGCUGGUCAUUACUCUCGCGUUGGCACUUUGAUACCCUCGGAGCAGAAGCACGACUCAACUGCCCAGGCUCAGCACUUUAUGGAUUAAUUGCGCCCGUGUUCUGUCCUCUGUGUAAUCUUACCUGUUGCAAUAAACCUCGCUAUGAUGCGCUUAGCCUGAAA